UACGAAGGGGGCUAGCGUUGCUCGGAAUUACUGGGCGUAAAGCGCACGUAGGCGGAUUGUUAAGUCGGGGGUGAAAUCCUGGAGCUCAACUCCAGAACUGCCUUCGAUACUGGCGAUCUCGAGUUCGGGAGAGGCGAGUGGAAUUCCUGGUGUAGCGGUGAAAUGCGUAGAGAUCAGCAGGAACACCCGUGGCGAAGGCGGCCCCCUGGGCCGUACCUG
rnacentral:rRNA from 1 species